UACGGAGGGGGCAAGCGUUAUUCGGAAUUAUUGGGCGUAAAGGGCGCGUAGGCGGCUAGAUGUGUCAAAGGUGAAAUCCCUCGGCUCAACUGAGGAACUGCCUUUGAAACUGUCUGGCUUGAGGCCGGGAGAGGGUAGCGGAAUUCCCAGUGUAGCGGUGAAAUGCGUAGAUAUUGGGAGGAACACCAGUGGCGAAGGCGGCUCCCUGGACCGGUUCUGACGCUGAGGCGCGAAAGCGUGGGUAGCAAACAGG
rnacentral:rRNA from 1 species